ACUUCAACAACUCAUAUCUCUCAAUUGGACUAUUCAAACAUACUCAAAUAUUAUAUAAAGUAUUGAUGUACUUCUAAAAACUACCACAACAAAUUUCAACUACAAAUUCAUCAUGGAUCUUAAGAUAUUACCAAAACCCUAACAGUAGCUUCAAAACCUUAAUUUUUAUAUACUUGCAUAUAAUUUUCUUUAUAUCUCAUAAACUAAGUACUCAAAUACCAAAUUUUUUAUAUAUAUAGCUUUUUAAUACAUUAUUCCAUCUUUUUUAAAAUAUUUGAGCUAAAAAUUCAUUCGACAACUUAAGAUAUGGCUCUAAUCAUUACUUUGAAUAAAAUCACUUACUUAUUGCCUUUAAUUUAAAUGUAUUGACUUCAACUCUCUAUAACUUCUUCAUCUAGACUUUAAAUAUAAUAAUUUCUUCAUAAAAGAUGUAAGUCAUGAAAUUGCCGUUCUAAUUGCACCUUUUAAUCUCAAAAAACUAUUGUAAAAUUCCUCGUAUGCUCAAAAGAACAAUAGUAUGUCUUAAAAUGAUAUCUUUACUUCAAAUAGCUAUAAUUUCUUCAACUUAACUCCAAACUCACUAAUUUUUAUAUCCAAAUUAUAAUCCAAAUCCUAAAACUUAUAAUUCUAGCUUUUGAUUCUCAAAUGUUCUUUUGAGGUCACUACAAAAUCUUCUCAUGGUUGCAGACUAUCUCCUAAAAGCCUAUUGGGCAUAGCCUUCGAUCAAUAGGGAUGAAGAUCUUCAUCUGUUAUCUUCAUCCAUCCAUACUUUACCUUCGUCCCUCCAAAUAAGCUUCUUAAUAGUUUGAGUCUUCAACUUUGAGCUCCAAUCUUCUCUUAUAACUUUAUUCUAAAUAUCUAAAUCUUAUAUAAUUUAAACACUAUAAUAAAUAUAAAUAAACCUCAAAAUAAUUUUUUCACAUCAAAAAGUAUGUGACUACAAAAAGUCCAAGUCAUGACCUCAUUUUGAUUAUGGGUAUUCAUUUAGAACUUCAUCUCUUAGUCCAUCUUAGACUCAUGAGCUUUACUGAAACAUAUUAGCAAAUAAAGAAGGAAAUGAAGGGUGGACAGAGCCUGCUUAUGAAUCCAAAUUCAAAGAAAGCAUUAGGGGUCAACUAUACUGAAGAGAGUACAAUUUUAUACGUCACCAAAUUAAUGGAGUGGCUAAGUUCAAUGUACAUUAAGUCAAAAUCCAAACAUAAGAGAGUCAAAAAAUCAAUCAUAACUUUAUAAUUCUAAAUUCUAAAUCUUCAACUUUUAAUUCCUAAAUCUUAAAUCCUAAAUUUUUAGCCUUUGAUUUUAAGCUCUAAAUAUAAAUUCUAAAUCCUAAAUAUUUAAUCCUAAAAUUCUAAAUUCUAAAUUCUAAAUCUGAUGUAAUUUUUUAUAAUAGAAUUUAAAAAUCAAUAAAGUAAUUUUUACAAAAAUCUUCAAAUUUUAUUUUAAUAAUUACUAAUGAAUUAAAAAUAUAUUUCUAAAUAUUUUUUAAAUUGCAAAAAUAAAUCAAGAAUAUUCUAUUAUCUUUAUUUUAUAUUAUAUAACAAAAAAAUUAAUUUAAAAAAUCUUAAUCCUAAAUUAUACAUAAAUUAUCAAAAAAUCAUAAUUUUAUUUUUUAUGAUUUUUUUAACUAUUAAUUUAAAUAAAAAUAUUUUUAUAAAUAAUAUGUAUAUAAGAUAAUUUUUAGUUAUUUUAUUAAAAAUAGAUAAGAACUAUAAAAAAGAAAAAAUAUAGAUAUUUGAAUAGAAGCUCACAAAUAGCUUUUGUUAGUAUUGAUAAAGUCAAAAAAAUCUUCAUUAUUCUUUAUAAAUAUUUAUUAUUUAUAGAUGCAUAUUAAAAAGUAAUGUAAUAAAAUACCUCUUAGAUUAAAACUACAAAUAAAUACUACAUUAUAAGAUUUUAUCUAUGAUUUUAUUAUAAAUUUUUGUAUAAUCAACUAUCUAUCUAAUACUUUGGAACAAUGACUGUAUAGUGGAUUGGACAAUAUUUUUAUUAAUAUAAAUGGACAAUAUUUUUAUUAAUAUAAAUGGACAAUAUUUUUAUUAAUAUAAAUGGACAAUAUUUUUAUUAAUAUAAAUAAUAUAAAAUUGGUAAAUAUUUUUACCAACUACAAGGACUUAUACAAGUAGCAAAAAAAUUAUUGAAUGUUAUUUUUUCUACUAAUUUGACUUAUAUUGUAUUAGAUUCAAAUACAUGGAGGAAAAUUGCCAAAUAGAAAAAUUAAGAUAAAUAGAAGUAAUUACCAAUUAUUUUAGUCUAAUAAGUUGUUUCAAUAAUUUUUAAUUUAUGACUGAUACUAAUUGGUAUUAACUACAAUUAGUAUAACCACACUUGCCAAAUUUUUGUCUUAGAUUAGAUUUAAUACAAUUGUUGUUUAUGACUAAUUUAAAUAAAACUAUCUUCUUGUUAUUUUUUUAUGAACUUCUUUUAAAUUAACAAAAAGUCUAAUUAAAAAGAUUAUAAACUUUGAAUCUAAUAUAAAUUAGUGUGAUUUUUCUUCUAAUAGUUAUUAUUAAUCUAAAAGAUUUUUAAUGGUAAUAAAAUUAAAUAAAAAGUAAGCAAUCCACUUCAAUCACAAAUCCAAUUAUCUUCUAACUACAGCAAUGUCAAUUUGCAGUAAUAUAUUAAUUAAAUCUAAUUUAAUAAAAAACAAAGACUUCAUCAUGUUGUUAAUACUUAUUAGCUCUAUUUUGGGACCUUAACAACAUCAAAACACCAAUUAGGUAAUUACCUAUCUUUCAUUUGGCAAUACAAUUCUCUCCAAUUUAUGCUCUUUGUAGACUGCUUGAAAUGAUUUACUUCCUUUUUGGUAUAACCAUGCACCCUCA
rnacentral:lncRNA from 1 species